AGAGCCUAGCUGUGGGGAAAAACACCAGAUAGAUGCAGGCUACAGCAUGUACACAUGGCCACACGCACUCUUACAGAAACACACACACAAGCGAGCGUUCUGCGACAUGAAAGUGGUAGAAGCUAACCACAGUUAGACCUUUAAACACAGGUCGAUGUGAGGACUAGUUUUAGCUAAGCCAGCGUGCACAAGAAGAAUCAGUGCGGGAGAGAGAGCAGACAUGCGCACAUUCACACCUACAACCAUGCAGAUUUGGGGAUUUCAGCAAGUUGUGCAGAAGAAAGAAAGUUUUACAGGUUUUAAUGAAUCCUGGGAAUCCAAGGAACCAGGAAACCCAAUUUGAAUGAUCGAGUGUUUUCAUCAUGAAAACACAAGUUUCUGUACACAGAGAUCAGCCAAUCAAAACAAAAGAUGACGCAAAAGACAAAUGUGAGACUUAAAGAGUGAACAACACAGCUAAAUGAACAACAGCCCCACCUAAAGCAGCCGGCGGAGCCAGAUAGCAGAAGUCACGCAGAACAAUGACAUCAGCCCUGCAAUAAACAGCCAUGAUGGAGGCGCUGGCCUGCAUAUUGGAUCAAGUCGGGUGAAACCAGCAGGAGAAAGAUCUUGAAAAUCCAGUUCGGCGGGAUGAAAUUUGACCAACAAUCUCAACUCAUUCCACUUGGCAUGUUUUAACGGCAGAUGCGACAUUGAUUGGGCUAAUUAAUAUGUGUAACUUACUAAUGUUUACUGAGCUCUGAUUGUGUCCGAGAGAUGAAUAGUGCUUUUGUUUGUAAAUUCCCAGCUGUCUAAAUGUUAGUAUGGCGGAUAAAGGCCCGACAGAAGGUCAGAGAGCUUGCUAAAGCACUAAGGUAACACUGGUGCUCAUAACGUGCCAUCCAGUUUUUAUUAUUAUAUUUGAAAAGACGUUGUUUAUCAGACUCUGUGCUCCAGUGGUUAUUUAUUCAAAUACGGUGUCGCCUAUGCAGCCAAUUGAGCUCUCACGCCAGAUGGAAAGUGUGCCAGUUUGAAAGAGUUUCGAGUCAGCUGACAGAACAGUCUUGCCCGUAUUCGUAUUGAGCCAAUGAACUCAAGUCAUAACGUGCACUUGCAUAUGUUUUUAUGAUAAGAAAUAAAUAUUCAGUCAGUUAUAUCUUACAGACGGGACAAAACAUCUGAUAUGCUAUAUUAGAUCUGUGAAUGUGUGUGAAUGCGAUCUAUUUCACCUGCCGCUGUCUUACAGUUAUUCAUUCUUAAAAGGGGUUAUGUGUAAGAAUUUGCAUGUAUUAAUCGCUUUUUGCAUUGCCAAUGUGUGAACAGCUUGUGUUAACUUGAAAACCGAGACCUUCCUCGACUUCCUAGGUGAAGGACUUGGGGUGGUGUCACCAGUUAAAUCAAAAGGAAGCGGUGUUAACGUGUGCUGCUUCCUUUUGAAUUAACUGGUGACACCUCCAAGAACCUCUCUUACAUUCACAUGAAACAAAUGCGUACAAUGUUCAGGAUAAUGCCAAAAAAGAGCUACUGCAAUGUCCCCAAAGUCCAAACCAUAGUCUUACAUAGCCUAUACAUAGACUCGAAUAUACUUUAUAAUCAAACUAUCAUAACUCAUGCUAAUUGCCUCAUCUGUUGACUAGGGCUGGG